GAUGAACGCUGGCGGCGUGCCUAAUACAUGCCAGUCGAGCGAACAGACGAGGAGCUUGCUCCCCUGACGUUAACGGCGGACGGGUGAGUAACACGUGGAUAACCUACCUUUAAGACUGGGAUAACUUCGGGAAACCGGAGCUAAUACCGGAUAAUAUAUUGAACGGGAUGGUUCAAAAGUGAAAGAGGGCUUUGCUGUCCCUUCUAGCUGGAUCCCGGCUGAAUUAGCUAGGUGGUAGGGUAACGGCUUACCAAGGCAACGAUGCGUAGCCGACCGGAGAGGGGGGUCGGCCACACUGGAACUGAGACACGGUCCAGGCUCCUACGGGACGCAGCAGUAGGGAAUCUUCCGCAAUGGGCGGAAGCCUGACGGAGCAGCGGCGCGUGAGUGACGAAGGUCUCCGGAGCGUAAAACUCUGUUAUUAGUGAAGAACAAAUGUGUAAGUAACUAUGCACGUCUUGACGGUACCUAAUCAGAAAGCCACGGCUAACUACGUG
rnacentral:rRNA from 1 species